GAGUUUGAUCUUGGCUCAGAUUGAACGCUGGCGGCAUGCCUUACACAUGCAAGUCGAACGGCAGCACGGGAGCUUGCUCCUGGUGGCGAAUGGCGAACGGGUGAGUAAUGCAUCGGAACGUAUCCUGGAGUGGGGGAUAACGUAGCGAAAGUUACGCUAAUACCGCAUAUUCUGUGAGCAGGAAAGCGGGGGACCUUCGGGCCUCGCGCUCUUGGAGCGGCCGAUGUCGGAUUAGCUAGUUGGUGAGGUAAAGGCUCACCAAGGCGACGAUCCGUAGCAGGUCUGAGAGGAUGAUCUGCCACACUGGAACUGAGACACGGUCCAGACUCCUACGGGAGGCAGCAGUGGGGAAUUUUGGACAAUGGGGGCAACCCUGAUCCAGCCAUGCCGCGUGAGUGAAGAAGGCCUCGG
rnacentral:rRNA from 1 species